rnacentral:misc_RNA from 1 species
GAUGAAGAACGCAGCGAAAUGCGAUACGUAAUGUGAAUUGCAGAAUUCAGUGAAUCAUCGAGUCUUUGAACGCACAUUGCGCCCCCUGGUAUUCCGGGGGGCAUGCCUGUCCGAGCGUCAUUGCUGCCCUCAAGCACGGCUUGUGUGUUGGGCCUCCGUCCCCCCGGGGACGGGUCCGAAAGGCAGCGGCGGCACCGAGUCCGGUCCUCGAGCGUAUGGGGCUUUGUCACCCGCUCUGUAGGCCCGGCCGGCGCCAGCCGACAACCAAUCAUCCUUUUUUCAGGUUGACCUCGGAUCAGGUAGGGAUACCCGCUGAACUUAAGCAUAUCAAUAAGCGGAGGA